AAUGAACGCUGGCGGCAGGCCUAACACAUGCAAGUCGAGCGAGCGGCGGACGGGUGAGUAAUGUAUGGGGACUGCCCGAUAGAGGGGGAUAACUACUGGAAACGGUGGCUAAUACCGCAUACUAUAGGAUAACCCAAAUGAGAUUAGCUAGUAGGUGGGGUAAAGGCUCACCUAGGCGACGAUCUCUAGCUGGUCUGAGAGGAUGAUCAGCCCCACUGGAACUGAGCAACUGCCCAGACUCCUACGGGGGCAGCAGUGGGGAAUAUUGCACAAUGGUCGCAAGCCUGAUGCAGCCAUGCCGCUUGUAUGAAGAAAGCCUUAGGGUUGUAAAGUACUUUCAGCUGGGAGGCGUUACCCGCAGAAGAAGCACCGGCUAACUCCGUGCCAGCUGCCGCGGUAAUAC
rnacentral:rRNA from 1 species